rnacentral:rRNA from 1 species
GUGUCAGCCGCCGCGGUAAUACGGAGGGUGCAAGCGUUAAUCGGAAUUACUGGGCGUAAAGCGCGCGUAGGUGGCUUGAUAAGCCGGUUGUGAAAGCCCCGGGCUCAACCUGGGAACGGCAUCCGGAGCUGUCCGGCUAGAGUGCAGGAGAGGAAGGUAGAAUUCCCGGUGUAGCGGUGAAAUGCGUAGAGAUCGGGAGGAAUACCAGUGGCGAAGGCGGCCUUCUGGACUGACACUGACACUGAGGUGCGAAAGCGUGGGUAGCAAACAGGAUUAGAUACCCUGGUAGUCCACGCCGUAAACGAUGUCGACCAGCCGUUGGGUGCCUAGAGCACUUUGUGGCGAAGUUAACGCGAUAAGUCGACCGCCUGGGGAGUACGGCCGCAAGGUUAAAACUCAAAUGAAUUGACGGGGGCCCGCACAAGCGGUGGAGCAUGUGGUUUAAUUCGAUGCAACGCGAAGAACCUUACCUACCCUUGACAUCUACAGAAGCCGGAAGAGAUUCUGGUGUGCCUUCGGGAACUGUAAGACAGGUGCUGCAUGGCUGUCGUCAGCUCGUGUUGUGAAAUGUUGGGUUAAGUCCCGUAACGAGCGCAACCCUUGUCCUUAUUUGCCAGCGAGUAAUGUCGGGAACUCUAAGGAGACUGCCGGUGACAAACCGGAGGAAGGUGGGGACGACGUCAAGUCAUCAUGGCCCUUACGGGUAGGGCUACACACGUGCUACAAUGGCCGGUACAAAGGGCUGCGAGCUCGCGAGAGUCAGCGAAUCCCUUAAAGCCGGUCUCAGUCCGGAUCGGAGUCUGCAACUCGACUCCGUGAAGUCGGAAUCGCUAGUAAUCGUGAAUCAGAAUGUCACGGUGAAUACGUUCCCGGGCCUUGCACACACCGCCCGUC